rnacentral:lncRNA from 1 species
CUUCUAGGACUGGAUAAACACUACCCUAUACUGCCUUCUAGGACUGGAUAAACACUACAGUAUACUGCCUUCUAGGACUGGAUAAACACUACAGUAUACUGCCUUCUAGGACUGGAUAAACACUACCCUAUACUGCCUUCUAGGACUGGAUAUAUACUGCAGUAUACUGCCUUCUAGGACUGGAUAAACACUACCCUAUACUGCCUUCUAGGACUGGAUAAACACUACAGUAUACUGCCUUCUAGGUCUGGAUAAACACUACAGUAUACUGCUUCUAGGACUGGAUAAACACUACAGUAUACUGUCUUCUAGGACUGGAUAAACACUACAGUAUACUGUCUUCUAGGACUGGAUAAACACUACAGUAUACUGCCUUCUAGGACUGGAUAAAC